rnacentral:scRNA from 1 species
GACGAGAUGCGCCCAUCCAGCAAGCGAGCCCCUCCCCC